UCGGGACUGAUUAUUUUGUGACUGAGUGGCGGACGGGUGAGUAACGCGUGGGUAACCUGCCUUGUACAGGGGGAUAACAGUUGGAAACGGCUGCUAAUACCGCAUAAGCGCACGGCAUCGCAUGAUGCAGUGUGAAAAACUCCGGUGGUAUAAGAUGGACCCGCGUUGGAUUAGCUAGUUGGUGAGGUAACGGCCCACCAAGGCGACGAUCCAUAGCCGACCUGAGAGGGUGACCGGCCACAUUGGGACUGAGACACGGCCCAAACUCCUACGGGAGGCAGCAGUGGGGAAUAUUGCACAAUGGGCGAAAGCCUGAUGCAGCGACGCCGCGUGAGCGAAGAAGUAUUUCGGUAUGUAAAGCUCUAUCAGCAGGGAAGAUAAUGACGGUACCUGACUAAGAAGCACCGGCUAAAUACGUGCCAGCAGCCGCGGUAAUACGUAUGGUGCAAGCGUUAUCCGGAUUUACUGGGUGUAAAGGGAGCGCAGGCGGUGCGGCAAGUCUGAUGUGAAAGCCCGGGGCUCAACCCCGGUACUGCAUUGGAAACUGUCGUACUAGAGUGUCGGAGGGGUAAGCGGAAUUCCUAGUGUAGCGGUGAAAUGCGUAGAUAUUAGGAGGAACACCAGUGGCGAAGGCGGCUU
rnacentral:rRNA from 1 species